ACAAAGUCCUGCCAGUCUCCAGGGGAGGAGAAAUAAACUCUCCCUCUUGAUGGAGAGUGGCAGGGUUCAUGAGGAGCAGGGGGCUGUGGCCAUUUUUGGAAAUGAAAUCUGUUAUACUCAGCCACCUGACAGAUGGAGAAACAGAAGCACCUCCCUCCUUCCCAGGGGAAUAACUUGUCUAGGCUCAGACAAGGAAUAUCCUUGUCUAGGGUAUGGAAAGAACCCAGAGGAUCAUGUCUCCCAACCUGAGGCACAGAAUUGGAGCUGGCCACUCCCAUUUUCUGCCCUGGGAGACCCACUCUCCUCUUCCAGUCCAGGGCUCUGCAAAGACCAACCCUUUCCACACUUGGCUGGUGGCAGCUCCAAUUGUGGUUGAGGGUGGUUGAGUCCACUUGCAGCUAUGUUUCGCCUGCUAUGGGAUGGGUAGGUGGUCCUUGGAGAGUUCAUUCUUCCUCAGCUUCUGGGCUGCUGACCUUCCCCCUACCCCAUCAUCUCUAUCAAGGAGAGAGUGCUAGGGCCCAGCCUAUUCCCCAUCCAGCCACACACUGGGGUCUGACAGCCAGGGAUGAUCUGAUUGGCUGAGCCCCAGUCAGGGACCGA
rnacentral:lncRNA from 1 species